AAGGAGAAAAGAGAAAUAGAGAAUGAGACGUGCGCCCCUACAAGACGCGGUGUUCAUUCCUCACCAGCGAGGGAUGGGUCUGCCUCAGACGUGGGAGAUCUGCCGACUGAAAUAUCUUGCUGUUUCCAGCAGCUCAAUCUGCCACCAAAGGGAGAUCUCCAGUUUGCAGAGAUGUGCUCUGCUCUGGCAAGGUCUGCAGGCCAGUCUGCUGCAGGGAUUCCUCAGCAGAAGCCUGAACGGUGUGGGUUCAGCUGUGCUUGACAGGCUUAAUGCAAACACCUGGCCAGGACAAAAGUUUGAUCCUACAAGAGCCAAGCAAUGCAGCAGCUCCAUCUCAUUGGCCAGAAGAUAAGCACUGCACGUGCAGAUCUCCCAGAUGUCCCAGGACUUGGUCCAGGACCCUUCGUACACCCUCCGAAAGCCAGAUGUAAGGGAAAGGCUGCUCCAUGUGGUGCAUCGAACAUGUUUCGUUUUGUGGGCCUCAGAUUGAGCAAAAAGGGCUGUCAGAGCAAGGCUGCAGGAUGCGGGUUCUGACCUUCACACCCUUCUCUCUCCUGUUCUCAUUGGUGCUGUGUGGUGAGGGGAGGCUCCUG